rnacentral:rRNA from 1 species
CAAUAGCGUAUAUUAAAGUUGUUGCAGUUAAAAAGCUCGUAGUUGGAUUUAGAAGUUAGUUAGGAGUGGUCUGCCGGAACGGUGUGUACUGCCUUAAUUUAGCUUUUUUAUCGUUCGAUAGUCCCUUUCUGCUAUUAAUUUAGUGGGGAGUGUUUUUUUGACUUCGGACCGUUUACUUUGAAAAAAUUAGAGUGUUCAAAGCAGGCAUAAUCGCCUUGAAUACAUUAGCAUGGGAUAAUAGAAUAGGACUUUGCUUCUAUUUUGUUGGUUUCUAGUUGUAAAGUAAUGAUUAAUAGGGAUAGUUGGGGGCGUUUAUAUUUAAUUGUCAGAGGUGAAAUUCUUGGAUUUCUUAAAGAUAAACUGCUGCGAAAGCGUUCGCCAAGGAUGUUUUCAUUAA